rnacentral:lncRNA from 1 species
GAAUACUUAUAAUAGUGUUUAGUAUGUUUGCUAAGUCUAACAACUGGAAACUCCAGGUCAGAUUUUUAUGAAGUUUUUUCAUUUUAAUUCUAAUUUCUUAUUUUUUAUAUAGCUGGUGAAAUUUGAUUAUAUGUUAGGUAGUGGUUUUUUCUUUUGAUAUGCUGGGUAUUUUAAUAGUUCUAUAAAUAUUCUUUUUUAAAAAUUUUUUAAAAAAUUUAAAAUUUUGAGACAGGGUUUCUCUGUGUAGCCCUGGUUGUCCUGGAACUCACUCUGUAGACCAGCCUGGCCUCGAACUCAGAAAUCUGCCUGCCUCUGCCUCUCAAGUGCUGGGAUCAAAGGCGUGUGCCACCCACUGCCCAGCUCUAUAAAUAUUCUUGAUCUUGGGCCAGUCAUAUGGUUAUUUUAAAAUGCUUUCAUUUUGUUGUUGUUGUUGUUUUAGUUUGUUUGGUUUUGGAUCUUGUUUUUAAGAUGUGUUAGGUAGGACCAGAAUAAUGCUUUGCCCACAGUUAGGUACUUUAUACCACAGAGGAAAGAUCUUUCUGACACUACACAGUAUCUCUGGAGGGGACAACCAUUAGUUUUAAUCACAUGUAAUCUUUAAGUAACAGUUCCUCUGUAUUUUAUGGUCUCUGUUCUCUUCAUGUGGACACAGUGGUCAGUGCUCUGUUAGAUAAGCAAAGGACCCUCCCUCAGUCUACAUUGUAGAUUCUGGAAAGCUUACCACAUUACACCAACUAUUCCUUGUGGAAAGCAAAGAGAUAACGUAGGCAUAUAAAAACCUUUACCUUUUUGUGCUAUUGAGCUUGUUUUGCAAGGUUAGUUAGAACUUGGGCUAUUUUUGUAUUUGUAAUAGAUGAUUUAAACCAUGCAGGGUUUGAUACACAUAUAUAAUAUUAAUAACUCAGAAAGCCAAGACAGAAGGAUUAUGACUUUGAAGCCAGCUUGGGCUACAUAAUGAAAAUCUUGAUGUUCAGGAGAAUCUUUUAAUACUGGUAUUAUAUGAUUUUUUUGGGUUUUUGUUCCUUUUAUUUUAAAGCAAAAUCAUUUUAAUGAAGGUAGACUCACACACACACACACACACACACACACACACAC